rnacentral:sRNA from 1 species
GCCAGGCAUGGUGGCGCAGGCCUGUAAUCCCAGCAGCUUGGGAGGCUGAGGCAGGAAGAUAGCGAGUUUAAAGUCAGCCUUAG